rnacentral:rRNA from 1 species
AUUGAACGCUGGCGGCAGGCCUAACACAUGCAAGUCGAACGAGUGGCGGACGGGUGAGUAAUGUCUGGGAAACUGCCUGAUGGAGGGGGAUAACUACUGGAAACGGUAGCUAAUACCGCAUACCAUCUGAUGUGCCCAGAAGGGAUUCGCUAGUUGGUGGGGUAACGGCUCACCAAGGCGACGAUCCCUAGCUGGUUUGUGAGGAUGACCAGCCAAACUGGAACUGAGACACGGGCCAGACGCCAACGUGAGGCAGCAGUGUGGAAUAGUGCACAAUGGGCGCAAGCCUGAUGCAGCCAUGCCGCGUGUAUGAAGAAGGCCUUCGGGUUGUGAAGUACUUGCAGCGGGGAGGCGUUACCCGCAGAAGAAGCACCGACUAACUCCGUGCCAGCAGCCGCGGUAAUUC